rnacentral:lncRNA from 1 species
UUUGUUUGUCCUUUCACAGGACAACUGAUUACAGAGUUCCUUAGAGCAAGAAGACUUAGUUUUCAGGCUUUCUCAUUUCUUCCAGCAGUUGAUAGGAAAGUCUUGGAGACGACAAUGGAAUUUGUCUGGGUUAGAUUUGUAUGAGAAAACUAAAAGGGAGAGCAAUGUUUUUCACAUGGUCAGAAAGCCCUGGAAGAAAUCAACUACCCACUUGGGGAGCUCCAGGCCUUAGGGGCAUGCAGAAGAAGUAAAGAGAUGUUCCUGCCCUGGGGAGACAAAACUAACAAAGUUUAAACAGGAGGAAAACAUUUCUGCAGCUAAAUCAGGACAGAUCCUAGAAAAGAGCUCAUUUGAAAAGAAGAAAUGUUUGGAAGCCCUGCAGCUCACAUCACUGCCUCCCCAAAAGUGUGUAUGUCUGACAGCAGCCAUUAUAUUACAUGUGACGUUUGCAACAAAACUCAGCAAAUGUUUAAGUAUCUUUGCUACACUACUGUAAGACAUGUGCCCUUUAGGCCUCAGCUGAGAUUAGAUGCACCUAGCAAGUAGAGACCCUUCAGACUGUGCUCCAGGAACCCAGAAUUCUCAGCAACUCAAGAACACUUCUAGGGCUUGCACAGGCCUCUUCCCUGGGUCCCCAUCUUAUAGGAUGAUCCUACCAUGUGAUGUGCACACUCCUAGGCACAGGGACGAGCUCUUUGGAGGAAAAUAAAUUUGUUUUUCACUGACCUGAACAUUUGCAUUGAGGUGUCCACAUGAGUGUCUGAAGCCACUUACAGACAGGAGCAGAGAGUGGGUGGGGAGAGAAAGGUUUGGG